UACCAGCACCCAGAGUGGUCGGGACGAUUAUUGGGCCUAAAGCAUCCGUAGCCGGUUCUACAAGUCUUCCGUUAAAUCCACCUGCUUAACAGAUGGGCUGCGGAGGAUACUAUGGAGCUAGGAGGCGGGAGAGGCAAGCGGUACUUAGUGGGUAGGGGUAAAAUCCGUUGAUCCAUUGAAGACCACCAGUGGCGAAGGCGGCUUGCCAGAACGCACUCGACGGUGAGGGAUGAAAGCUGGGGGAGCAAACCGG
rnacentral:rRNA from 1 species